rnacentral:misc_RNA from 1 species
UUAUUAUUAUUAUUAUUAUUUGCAUUUUACUCUUUAAUUUUCAUGCUAAACAGUGUAUGAACUGAAAUGAGGCUACCCAUAUGAACAGUUGCUUCGAAUUCAAGAGGAAGUCCCUGGAAAUUAAGCUCCUUGAAUUCUCCAUUAUUUGGGUCAUAAGAGACAAUGGAUCUCUUACUAUGCAAAAUCAACAUCUCCCCAUUUUUCAAACCACAUAAAACUCUAAAUGCUCCACCUUGAUAUCCAUUCUUUUUUCUUCUAAAAGGAGGAAUAGCCAUGGGCAUUCCAUGAGGCACAUAAUUCCCAAUAACCAAUUCCUUACUCCAAGAUGUCUGCACAUUGUAAACCUUCAUCACCCAUAUCUCAUUUGACCCGCCACCAGUAACUACUGCUGAAAGGCAACUUCUUAAUGUCACCAGAUGAUAAUUGCUUUGAUUUAGACCCCCACAACUUGGUCUUGGAACAACUUGGAAUUGCUCAGUUUGUAGGUCAAAUGAUAUGAUCUGUCUAUAACUCACCUCUUCAUGGACAAGGAUAAAAGUCAGCCAGUGAAGUUUUCCAUUCACUAGGGCCUCUGAGGUUGGACCACUAAGUUCAUAACCUAUUUUGCCAAUAUUUCUCCAUGUAGGAGUAUCAUUGGCCAUAGUAAGCACAAAAGCCUCUGGGUUGCCACCGUAAAGAUCAUUGUUCCUUUGCAUGUAAUAAACUAUUUUUAUCACCUUGUACUCUUUUAUAUUCGGAUGGAAUCCGAAUCCAAAAACGACUCUGCAAAUGUUUGAAGGUGGAGAUGCCUCAAAUCUGGGCAACUCCCUGUACUCAAUAGCAAAGGGAUUCAAUAUGUAAAGUGGGUCAUCAAAGUGGUAGUUGUAGAGACAUACCAAUCCAUUACAAGAACCUACCACUUCGAACUCGGGCAACACAGAGUCAAAUGUGGUCUUGAGCGUCUUUGUUCUUGUUCCUUCUGGAUGCCUUACUUGCACAAGUUGAAGCUUGCUUUUUGGCCAAUCAGAAAAUAAUAGCAGGUAUAGAUCAUCCUCAAUUGCAUGGUUCAGGUGCAUGUUAGCCAGCGAUGGAUGCUUUACUGAAGAAUACCAGAGUCGAGACACGAGUUUGCAGUCCAGAAGAGACAUGAUGGGUUGUCUGGAAAGUAUAUCCAAGUAGAUUUCCCGAGGGAGUCUCUCCAACCAGGUGGUGGGUUGACGUUUUGGUGGUGAUUUAAUGGAUGUAAUUCCAUUGUGUUCUUCUACCCGACUGUUUGAUGCCAUAGAUGAACCUGCAAGGAGCUAGAAAGCAGAAAGGAAAUUAGUAAACUUUGUGAUCAAUAAGAAGUAUAUUACAAUGAAACAAUCAUAAAGCG